rnacentral:rRNA from 1 species
UACGUAGGGGGCGAGCGUUAUCCGGAUUUACUGGGUUUAAAGGGUGCGUAGGCUGUGAGGUAAGUCAGCGGUGAAAUGCCCCCGCUCAACGGGGUGAAGUGCCAUUGAUACUGCCUUGCUGGAAUGCGGAUGCCGUGGGAGGAAUGUGUGGUGUAGCGGUGAAAUGCAUAGAUAUCACACAGAACACCGAUUGCGAAGGCAUCUCACGAAUCCGCGAUUGACGCUGAUGCACGAAAGCGUGGGUAUCAAACAGG